GGGAGGGACCCCGUGGAAGGUGAUUGGAUCAUGAGGGUGGUUCCCUCAUGCUGUUCUUGGGAUAGUGGGUUCUAUAAAAUUUAUGGUUUUAUAAUGCAGUUUUCCCUUCUCUUGCAUGCUCUCUCUCCCCUGUCACCAUGUAAGACGUACCUCUUCCCCUUUUGCCAUGAUUAUAAGUUUCCUGAAGCCUCCCCAGCCAUGCAGAACUGUGAGUCAAUUAAACCUCUUUUCUUUAUAAAUUACCCAGUCUCGGGUAUGUCUUUAUAGCAGUGUGAAGACGGACUAAUACAAUAUGCUAAUGCAAGUGGGAAAACUAAGAUUGAUUUUGGAAUGAAACAUGCAGUCUCAACUUAAGAACACCCAAUUUACAAAACUAUAUAUAUCCAGACAGAGUCAUACUGAAUGCCAUGUUCUCCCACAUCAAUGUCAAAUGCUUAGCAUGGCCAGCAAAAAGCUGUUCCUUUGCUGUAAUGCAACCGUGUCUUCUGAAUAUGGAUCCAUAUUCACUUUCCAUCUUAUCCUCCAUCAGACACACUCUUCUUUUCCUAAAGCAUUUGCAGGGCAACAGAGGGUUCCAGGUUUCAGAAUUUAAACAGUCGUAUCUCAUUGAAAAUAAGUUUAAUGAUUAUUAAGUUUCCAAGCUAGAUUACAGAAGUCUUUUUAGCCCAUAUCAUAAAUAAAAUAGUUCUGAAUUUUUCGUAUGGAAAAAUAUACUCUGAGUUCCAAGCAAACAACUUAAGAAAAUUUUUAGAACUAACACAUUCCUAUAUUGGGAAGAGCUCAAAAGUCUGUUCUUCCUCCCCAUCCACUGUUGUUUAAUUAAUCUCUUAAUAUCAUAAAGUCCCUCAUGUGCCAAGUGUAGACAGUCAUUUUUGAAUCAGGGCUCACUUUGUUAGCUUUUUUGUCAAUUAAACCUCUUUUCUAUAUAAAUUACCGAGUCUCAAGUAUGUCUUCAUAGCAGUGUGAAAACAGACUAAUACAGGAAUUUGGUACCAGGAGUGGGGCAUUGCUAUAAAGAUACUUGAAAGUGUGGAAGCACCUUUGGAACUGGGUAACGGGUAGAGGUUGGAAGAGUUUGGAGGGCUCAGAAGAAGACAGGAAGAUGAAGGAAAGUUUGGAGCUUCCUGGAGACUUGUUGAAUGGUUUUAACCAAAAUGCUGACAGUGAUGUGGACGAUUAAGUCCACACUGAGGUGGUCUCAGAAGGAGAUGAGGAACUUAUUGGGAACUGGAGUUGCCAAUAGAUCAGCAGUUAACCAGAAGCUUGAGUUGAGUAUGGACCUGACAUAUGGAUAGACAUAUUGACAUCUUUAAAGUGAGUCACCCCUCCUCACAAUCUACUCCAAAAUUUCCAACAAGUUUUCUUCUUUUCAUUCUUCCUCCCACCAGCCUAUCCUAUUCCCUUCUCUCCCCCCACAAAAUCUAGCUCUUCUUUAAAUACAUUUAAACAUUUUCGCUAGGACAUUUCAUCUAUACAGGAUAUGCUAUAUUCUAACUAUUUCUUAGUAAACAUUGAAGGGAGUUUCUUCCUUUAUUCAAGUAUGGAACCCUGCUCAAUAUCCUUUUGGUCUUCAUAUGCCUUCUUUCAAGGCCUUUGUGAAAUUUUUUUCCAUGCCUGAAAGCCGGUGGGGUUUUACACAGGGACUGCGAUGGCUAAAUCCAAGGCAGAGUGGGAUCUUUAUCUAUUAACCAUUUGAUAACUCAAGUUUAUCCCUUGAUGAAUGAAUAAGUUAUCAUUUGCCUUUGGGUCCCAUUCUUGAGUGGUCAUGGAGAGUUCUGUAGCUCACCCUCUUUAUACUCAUAAUUUGCACAAAUUUCACCUAAGAGUAUUUACUUAACCACUUUAAUUCAAUUUGUCUCUACCUAAGACAUUUAAUUCAACAAAUAUUUUUUAAGCUUCUCUAUAAAAGGGACUCUGGCAACUUUCAGACCCGCACUGUAGCACCAGCUCUCUGCUGGCCCACCCCUUGCAGACUUUGGGCUUGCCUGCCUUCAAAAUCAUGUGAGUCAAUUCCUUAAAAUAAAUAUAUUUUUAUUUAUUUAUAUAUAUGUUUGCACACACACGCGAAUCUUAUUUUUUCUGUUUCUCUGGAGAAUUCUGACUAAUGCACCCCCAUUCACCAUCCAGGCUUUUGAGGAGAAAGAUACCAAUCUUAGCAGCAGAGGACACUCUGGAUAGAGCUAGGAGUUUGUUGCAGAGUCUGACAAAAGUUCCCUCUGCAGAAGGGAUGGAAGGAUAGCCUUGGGGGUUGAUUUAGGACUGGGUGUAUGACAUGGGGGAAAAGAAAUCCCUGGGGGAGCUAAAUGAGGGGAGGUGGACCCCUUAUGAUAGUUUAUCAGAGCAAUCUAAGAAAUCAUGUAGGCCUCUAAGAAAGCAUCAAGAAUCAAUGCAAUUUGAUUAAUUGACUUAAAAUAUGUUGAACUUUUCAGCCUCCAUUGUGUAUUUUUGGUGCAAUACUCUGUGCAACUAUUUCAUCCAAGACCAGAAGGGGCUGGAAGAUUGCCUGCUUCACAUUAAAACCCUCCUUAUUGUAUUGGUGCUGACACGACACAAGGAUAUGCAGUCUUUAUCCAGUCCUUAUUGCUCACAGAAAGAUACCAGUCCUUACUGCUCACAGAAAGUAGUGAAGCCUCCCUUCACUCACAGAGCCCACACAGGUAUGCCCUGGUUUAUGUAAUGAAUGGGCUGCUACAAAUAGGUGUGAUGCAUGCCUUUGUGAAUCACUUUAUAUUUUGAAGACACAUUAGAGGAGCUGGCUAUUUCAAAGAAAUUUCACAAGUGCCUCAUUUCUUAAUGUCACAAGCAUUUCUGAUUUAUAAUCAUAACCCCUUUCUAAUGUAUUAGCUUAUGAAGUUCCAUUUUUUGCCUAAGAGGUUUAAUCAAAGCAAGAUAAAACUAUGCUUAAUAAUAUUCAGUUACCUGAAAGAGCUAUUGCAGAAAUGCCUAAUAUAUUACCAGAAAGUAGCUUAAUGUCUCAAAUAAAUGUCAAGUUGUCCAAAUCAAACUGAUAGGCAGCUUAAUGAGGGAUAAAUGUCAUAAUUAUCCAUAUUUCUCCACAUUUUUUUUAGAAAAAAACAUUCACACAAUGAAGGGAAUCAGAAUCUGUUUUUAUAUCCCUAGAGUUAUAAACAUUUGUAUCAAAAUAUUUACAAUUAUAGUA
rnacentral:lncRNA from 1 species